UAAUGGUAUAUGGGCUACUCAUAUCGGCCAU
rnacentral:piRNA from 1 species